UACGUAGGGAGCGAGCGUUAUCCGGAUUCAUUGGGCGUAAAGCGCGCGUAGGCGGCUCGGGAAGCGGAACCUCUAACCUUGGGGCUCAACCUCAAGCCGGGUUCCGAACUCCCGGGCUCGAGUCAGGUAGGGGCAGGCGGAAUUCCCGGUGUAGCGGUGAAAUGCGCAGAUAUCGGGAGGAACACCGAUGGCGAAGGCAGCCUUCUGGGCCUAAAGACUGACGCUGAGGUGCGAAAGCGUGGGGAGCGAACAGGAUUAGAUACCCUGGUAGUCCCUGAG
rnacentral:rRNA from 1 species